GCGGAAGUGUCGGAACUGGCAGACGAGCAAGACUAAGGAUCUUGUGAUCAUUGCGAUCGUGAGGGUUCGAUUCCCUUCUUCCGCA
rfam:Lachnobacterium bovis strain S1b genome assembly, contig: IE07DRAFT_scaffold00007.7